CCUGGCUUACCUCCUCAGUUWUGCGUCAAGGCUUGUAUCGCCUAGAGCGUAUUGUUGGUUUUCUGUAUUGGAUACCUAAUCGAAGGUAUUAUUUUGAUCGAUUGGAGUCCCUUUUCGUCUUGUGUUGCAUUCUGUGUUGCAUGAUGAACUUUGAAGCGGUCUCUAUGAUCCAUCACGUUGAUGCACUUGCAUUGAUGUUGUGGCCCAUUGAGCUUUGUUUGGUUUCUUGGAUAUGGAACAUGAAGUGGGCAUGGGGCUGUCAUGAUCCUCUUUUUGCCCUCGUAUGGGGUUCUCRAACRACGGGUCAUGCGCGCCUAGG
rnacentral:misc_RNA from 1 species